rnacentral:rRNA from 1 species
GACGAACGCUGGCGGCGUGCUUAACACAUGCAAGUCGAACGAAGUGGCGAACGGGUGAGUAACGCGUAAUCAACCUGCCCUUCAGAGGGGGACAACAGUUGGAAACGACUGCUAAUACCGCAUACUGAAGGAGGGGAUUGCGUGUGAUUGGCUAGUUGGGGGGGUAACGGCCCACCAAGGCGAUGAUCAGUAGCCGGUUUGGGAGGAUGGACUGCCCCAUUGGGACCUGGACACGGGCCAGGCUUCUACGGGAGGCAGCAGUGGGGGAUCUUCCGCAAUGGGCGAAAGUCUGGCGGAGCAACGCCGCGUGAGUGGUGACGGCCUUCGGGUUGUAAAGCUCUGUUAAUCGGGGCGCGGUACCGGAAUAGAAAGCCACGGCUAACUACGUGCCAGCAGCCGCGGUAAUAC